CCUACGGGAGGCAGCAGUGGGGAAUAUUGGACAAUGGGCGCAAGCCUGAUCCAGCCAUACCGCGUGGGUGAAGAAGGCCUUCGGGUUGUAAAGCCCUUUUGUUGGGAAAGAAAAGCAGUCGAUUAAUACUCGGUUGUUCUGACGGUACCCAAAGAAUAAGCACCGGCUAACUUCGUGCCAGCAGCCGCGGUAAUACGAAGGGUGCAAGCGUUACUCGGAAUUACUGGGCGUAAAGCGUGCGUAGGUGGUUGUUUAAGUCUGUUGUGAAAGCCCUGGGCUCAACCUGGGAAUUGCAGUGGAUACUGGGCGACUAGAGUGUGGUAGAGGGUAGUGGAAUUCCCGGUGUAGCAGUGAAAUGCGUAGAGAUCGGGAGGAACAUCCAUGGCGAAGGCAGCUACCUGGACCAACACUGACACUGAGGCACGAAAGCGUGGGGAGCAAACAGGAUUAGAUACCCUGGUAGUCCACGCCCUAAACGAUGCGAACUGGAUGUUGGGUGCAAUUUGGCACGCAGUAUCGAAGCUAACGCGUUAAGUUCGCCGCCUGGGGAGUACGGUCGCAAGACUGAAACUCAAAGGAAUUGACGGCNGAGAGAGCGACGACGACGACGAGGGAGGAGG
rnacentral:rRNA from 1 species